rnacentral:rRNA from 1 species
CACGUAGGGGCCAAGCGUUGUCCGGAUUCAUUGGGCGUAAAGAGCUCGUAGGCGGUUCAGUUAGUCGGGUGUGAAAUCUCCGGGCUCAACCCGGAGGGGCCACCCGAUACUGCUGUGACUCGAGUCCGGUAGGGGAGUGGGGAAUUCCUGGUGUAGCGGUGAAAUGCGUAGAUAUCUGGAGGAAUACCGGUGGCGAAGGCGGCAUCCUGGACCGGCAUUGACGCUGAGGAGCGAAAGCCAGGGGAGCAAACAGG